AAGAUGGCAUACUAAAAGUCUCAAACAAAACCCUAUAUUUUUUCAUUUUUCUUCCCAUUCUGCCCUUCUUUCCCUACAUCAAACCCUCAGAAUGUUAUCAUCAGUUUCUCAACUCAAUCGUUCCCUUCAAUCAUUGCCCUUUGAUUCCUGAGAUAGAGUCUUUUGUUUACUUCAAUUGAAUGUCCAAAUUGAUGACAUUAAUUGUCAUCAGUUUACUACAACUGAAUAGUCAUCAGUUUACUUCAAUUGAAUAGGAGAUAGAAUUUCACAAUUGCUCAUUCUCUCUUUAUCACUAAUUCAAACCGUAGUGGAUUUUGUAAUAACCCUAAAUCUCCUUAUGUCUUUAUUACUAAUCUAAACCAGAUUUCGAGAGAGUCCAUGUGACACAAGAAGAUUUCGAGAUGGCAGUUGCCAAAGUUGAUUUGAUGAAAAGCAAUUCGGCUUCGAGAAAAGAGAUUGAUUCGGAAAACAACAUCAAAGCGUAUGCUCAUCCUUCUCAGUCGAGGUUUGAUAUCUUGAAAAUUUAUUCAAGAAAAAUGAAUUUAAUGCGCGGCAUUGAUCUGAAAAAAAUUGCUGAGAAAAUGAACGGUGCUUCAGGUGCAGAAUUGAAGGUGGUCUGCACAGAGGCAGGGAUGUUUGCAUUGAGAGAACGGAGAGUCCAUGUGACACAAGAAGAUUUCGAGAUGGCAGUUGCCAAAGUCAUGAAAAAGGAAACCGAAAAAAACAUGUCACUCCGUAAGCUCUGGAAAUAAACGUAACUUUUUUUUUAUUUACUGUAAUUCUGGAAUUAUAUGUCUCGAAACGGAGAUUGAAGAACCACGACAUUAGUCUUUAAACUAUGGUUCAUUCACACACUUUAAAGUUGCAGAGAUAGGUUCACCUUCUCAGUUAAGUUUCUGAUCCCUCACGAAGCCCUUUGCUUAAACCGUGCACGUCGGAGUCCGAUCAGUACAUAUAGACGGAAGGAAAAUCAACUUAGUCGCCACCACCGCUACUCCGAAGGUAUAUGAUUUUCCGUGUUUCUAAUAGGUUAAUUGAUUUCACUUGUUAUGAUUUUUUUUUUAAUAAAGCAAUUAGGAUAUGUAUGCAUUAGAUGUACGGUUCUAAGAUACCUCUACCCAUUUGACCCAUUCCCUUUAAAUCUAUUUUUUAUAUGAUCUGUUUAACAUUAAAAAUAAAUAAAAGUGAUAAACUAUUAAGUAAAUGGGUUGAAAUUGUCACCUUUGCGGGUGGUGAAUAUAGAUAAUGAUAGGAGCAGAAGGUGAAACAAGCAAGAUUCUUGAACUCACUCUCCAGGUAUGAUUUCUCAUCGUAUUUGAUGUUAACUGAUUUAGAAGGGUAUUAAGGGGAUUGCACCCUUUUGAUGCGUGUUUAGAACUGUUUAGGCUUGAUAAUUUGUUAAAAAAGGUGGUUAUUUAUUUUGGCAAUGCAGUUUGAAAAAAAAGGCAGCACCCUUAGAAAGCUAGCAUCUAUGUUAAGAAAGAGGAGGCUCAAGAAAUUAUGAAAAAUCUUUUCAAAAGUAUGGUCAAAUGAGGGAGAAGAGUACAUCAACAAUAACCUGAAUCUGAUAGAGACUUCUGGGGAAAGGAUCAUGUUUGCAUCCUUAACUGCCACAAAAGCUAAAGAUAUUGAACAUAUGUUGAUAGAUUAUGAAUCUGGAUCUUCUAGCGACUCUGAAAAUGAGUAUAUCCACCGUUGUAUAACCGCCAUCAUCACGGAGGAACAACUACUCAAGGAAAAGUGUCAACCAAUCCAUCGCCACCAUUCCAGUUUGUUGAAAGAGUACUGAUUGUUUUGAAGCCCCAAGGAAAAGCACAAGCAACAAAGAUAUAGAUUGGUGGGAUAUGGUGAUUUUGUAGCAAGUAACGAUGGGUGUAAGGCUAAAGGUAUCUAUUUUAUAAAGACGACUUUUGACAAGGCGUUGCGGCUAGCACCAGAGUAAAAAAGGAUGAGCUUCUGAAGACGACUUUUGACAAGGCCUUGAGUGUUUUUUUAAGCUCCAUGAAGGUGUAUAACCAUAAAAGAGCGAACACAAAGAGGCCAGUCAACAAAUGCAAGUCAUGUAGUGGUAAUAAUGUUGUCAUUUUUAUCUCUCUUUAUCUACUACUUCUGAGUUUUAUAGCUCCAACAAAACUUGAAUAUAGCAAGGUCAAUUUUUUAUGUUAUCCAAUUAAGGAUGUAAAUGAGCUAAGCUAUUCAUGGGCUGCUUGAGAUUGGCUCACUAGAUAAAUAAAAGUGUUAAAGUA